CUAGAGGCGCUGCGGAGUUGCUGCGAGCCCUGUGUGCACCCAGCCCGGUGGUCGCACUUUCUUUGCUAACCCUGCUGCAAGCCGGCCGCCAGCCUUGGGCAGGACACUCGCGCCUACUUCUUUCUGAUUCUUCGAGAAAGGCCAAACUUGAGGCCAGCAGAACUUCAGCCUCGCUGCCAGAGGAACGUGCUGUGGGUCCCGCUGGCCACACUGCUCCUAGCUGCUCCCAUAAAGCAAUCAGCGUCUACCAUCGGGAGGGACCAAAGAUCUUGACCUGGGAUGUUCCCGACGGAAGGAAUGGGGAGUGAGAAAAAUAGAGUUGAAGAAACUGUUUGUAAAGUUAGUGUAAAGUAUUUUGGGGGAGAAAUUAAAGAUUUGUUUGUUGCCCGGCUAA
rnacentral:lncRNA from 1 species